UCUUUGAAACCGUAUCGUGAUGGGGAUAGAACAUUGCAAUUAUUGUUCUUCAACGAGGAAUGCCUAGUAAGCGCGAGUCAUCAUCUCGCGUUGAUUACGUCCCUGCCCUUUGUACACACCGCCCGUCGCUCCUACCGAUUGAACGUGCUGGUGAAGCGUUAGGACUGGAGCUCUGGGCCGGUUCGCCUGCCCAUUGCUACGGGAAUUUCGUUGAACCCUCCCGUUUAGAGGAAGGAGAAGCCGUAACAAGGUCUCCGUAGGUGAACCUGCGGAGGGAUCAUUGAAACCGAUCAAACCAACCACAGAGCACCUGCGGGCGCUCACCCGGGUGCGUGCGCGCACCCCGGGUGGGGCGGCCCGCCGUCGUAUCUCGGGACCCGGUCCUCCGGGCCCCGCCCAAACCCAACCAACCCUUCUGCCCUGAAGCAGCUUCGCAAGGGGACACCCCGCGCGACAGUAACAGAGACAACUCUCAACAACGGAUAUCUUGGCUCUCGCAACGAUGAAGAACGCAGCGAAAUGCGAUACGUAGUGUGAAUUGCAGAAUUCCGUGAGUCAUCGAAUCUUUGAACGCACAUUGCCGGUCGACUCUUCGGAGGAGACCACAUCUGCCUCAGCGUCGGAAUACCCCCUCACGCCCUCCCGCGUGGACCUGGCCCCCCCGGACUCCUCGAGAGGCCGGGCCGGCUGAAAUGCAGAGGCUCGUGCGCGGCCCACCCCUGUGGCCCCGACUAGGUAGGUAGCUCGCUACUGCUAGGCGGCGGCUCGGUGCCGCGGACUCUGGGCCCCAGAGGAUACCCCUAUUCAAUCGACCUGAGUUCAGGUGAGGCUACCCGCUGAACUUAAGCAUAUCAAUAAGC
rnacentral:rRNA from 1 species